rnacentral:rRNA from 1 species
UACGUAGGGUGCGAGCGUUAAUCGGAAUUACUGGGCGUAAAGCGUGCGCAGGCGGUGAGCUGUGUCCGAUGUGAAAGCCCCGGGCUUAACCUGGGAAUGGCAUUGGAAACUGGCUCGCUGGAGUGUGGCAGAGGGGGGUGGAAUUCCGCGUGUAGCAGUGAAAUGCGUAGAUAUCGGGAGGAACACCAGUGGCGAAGGCGACUACCUGGCCUGUUCUUGACGCUGAGGCGCGAAAGCUAGGGGAGCAA